UACGAAGGGGGCUAGCGUUGUUCGGAUUUACUGGGCGUAAAGGGCGUGCAGGCGGUUUGUUAAGUCUAGGGUGAAAGCUCCCGGCUCAACUGGGAGAGGUCCUUGGAUACUGGCAAACUUGAGGGAGGCAGAGGGUAGUGGAAUUCCCGGUGUAGUGGUGAAAUGCGUAGAUAUCGGGAGGAACACCAGUGGCGAAGGCGACUACCUGGCCUGUUCUUGACGCUGAGGCGCGAAAGCUAGGGGAGCAAACGGG
rnacentral:rRNA from 1 species